UGUUAAUUUUCUUGUUUGCAUUAAAUCAUAAUUUAUUUCAACCACCUGUCCAUGCCUGCUGCUUGGGUUCACACGUCUGAGUCGUGACAGUACCAGCAGUCAGAACACAGCUCCCACGGCAACGGUUAUGGUAAACAAACUUAAGGAAGAGAAAAAAAAAUCCUGGACAAGCGUGACCAGCUCAGAGCUGAACUGUCAAGCGCAAUAGAGGAUCGGCAGCAGGCACAGGCUUUCCUUCCUCCUCCAUAAGGAAAACAAAAGAGACACAGGAAACCUUCAUCCGAAUCAUCAACAAGCUCAUCCUCAACAAUAUCAUCCUCCACAUCAUCAUCAUCUUCGGAUUCAUCUUUAUCCUCCUCCAAGAAAAAAAGGCAAAGAGGAAGAAGUCCAAAGGGAGACUUCUCUAAAAGGAUAUCCCGAGAGCCCUCACUGAAGACACGAAGACCCUCAUCAAAGAGUACUAAGCCAGGAAUGAGAGGCUUACAGAUGCACAACACAUUUUAAAUCAUUUUCAUCCCUCAUGGUUGCUGGUGCUGGGGACAGCUGCUGGUGGCGACUGCUGGCUGUGGCCACUGAGGGACACUGGAUUCUGCAACAUUAUAAUACGCUACCCGGUGUGCAAAGUGUUGAAUCUGUUCUCUCCCUGUCUUACUUCAUCUACUUUAUAGUGUCCAGGACACACAUGAAGAGGAUGUCUCCCCACACACAAGUCAUUUGAUUAUUUUUUUUAUUAUUUCAAAAAUAAUUGUAAAAAAUAACAUGUUGUUGUUUCUCCCAUUGUCAAUAAAACAUACUAUUUCAUUCAUCAAA